rnacentral:rRNA from 1 species
UUGGAGGGCAAGUCUGGUGCCAGCAGCCGCGGUAAUUCCAGCUCCAAUAGCGUAUAUUAAAGUUGUUGCAGUUAAAAAGCUCGUAGUUGAAUUUCGGGGUUCUUCCGUUGGUCAGGCUAACCAGUCUGUACUAGCGUGUAGAAUCUCUACCUUCUGGGGAACCAUCAUGUUAUUAAUUUAGCGUGGUGGGAAACCAGGACCUUUACCUUGAAAAAAUUAGAGUGUUCAAAGCAGGCUUACGUCUGAAUACAUUAGCAUGGAAUAAUAAAAUAGGACGGUGGUCCUGUUUUGUUGGUUUCUGAAUCACCGUAAUGAUUAAUAGGGAUAGUUGGGGGCAUUAGUAUUCAAUUGUCAGAGGUGAAAGUCUUGGAUUUAUUGAAGACUAACUUCUGCGAAAGCAUUUGCCAAGGAUGUUUUCAUUAAUCAAGAACGAAAGUUAGGGGAUCGAAGACGAUCAGAUACCGUCGUAGUCUUAACCAUAAACUAUGCCGACUAGGGAUCGGACGAUGUUAAAUUUUAUUGACUCGUUCGGCGCCUUACGGGAAAC